GUCGAACGGUAACAGGAAGCAGCUUGCUGCUUUGCUGACGAGUGGCGGACGGGUGAGUAAUGUCUGGGAAACUGCCUGAUGGAGGGGGAUAACUACUGGAAACGGUGGCUAAUACCGCAUAACGUCGCAAGACCAAAGAGGGGGACCUUCGGGCCUCUUGCCAUCAGAUGUGCCCAGAUGGGAUUAGCUUGUUGGUGAGGUAACGGCUCACCAAGGCGACGAUCCCUAGCUGGUCUGAGAGGAUGACCAGCCACACUGGAACUGAGACACGGUCCAGACUCCUACGGGAGGCAGCAGUGGGGAAUAUUGCACAAUGGGCGCAAGCCUGAUGCAGCCAUGCCGCGUGUAUGAAGAAGGCCUUCGGGUUGUAAAGUACUUUCAGCGGGGAGGAAGGUGUUGUGGUUAAUAACCGCAGCAAUUGACGUUACCCGCAGAAGAAGCACCGGCUAACUCCGUGCCAGCAGCCGCGGUAAUACGGAGGGUGCAAGCGUUAAUCGGAAUUACUGGGCGUAAAGCGCACGCAGGCGGUCUGUCAAGUCGGAUGUGAAAUCCCCGGGCUCAACCUGGGAACUGCAUUCGAAACUGGCAGGCUUGAGUCUUGUAGAGGGGGGUAGAAUUCCAGGUGUAGCGGUGAAAUGCGUAGAGAUCUGGAGGAAUACCGGUGGCGAAGGCGGCCCCCUGGACAAAGACUGACGCUCAGGUGCGAAAGCGUGGGGAGCAAACAGGAUUAGAUACCCUGGUAGUCCACGCCGUAAACGAUGUCUACUUGGAGGUUGUGCCCUUGAGGCGUGGCUUCCGGAGCUAACGCGUUAAGUAGACCGCCUGGGGAGUACGGCCGCAAGGUUAAAACUCAAAUGAAUUGACGGGGGCCCGCACAAGCGGUGGAGCAUGUGGUUUAAUUCGAUGCAACGCGAAGAACCUUACCUGGUCUUGACAUCCACAGAACUUUCCAGAGAUGGAUUGGUGCCUUCGGGAACUGUGAGACAGGUGCUGCAUGGCUGUCGUCAGCUCGUGUUGUGAAAUGUUGGGUUAAGUCCCGCAACGAGCGCAACCCUUAUCCUUUGUUGCCAGCGGUCCGGCCGGGAACUCAAAGGAGACUGCCAGUGAUAAACUGGAGGAAGGUGGGGAUGACGUCAAGUCAUCAUGGCCCUUACGACCAGGGCUACACACGUGCUACAAUGGCGCAUACAAAGAGAAGCGACCUCGCGAGAGCAAGCGGACCUCAUAAAGUGCGUCGUAGUCCGGAUUGGAGUCUGCAACUCGACUCCAUGAAGUCGGAAUCGCUAGUAAUCGUGGAUCAGAAUGCCACGGUGAAUACGUUCCCGGGCCUUGUACACACCGCCCGUCACACCAUGGGAGUGGGUUGCAAAAGAAGUAGGUAGCUUAACCUUCGGGAGGGCGCUUACCACUUUGUGAUUCAUGACUGGGGUGAAGUCGUAACAAGGUAACCGUAGGGGAACCUGC
rnacentral:rRNA from 1 species